rnacentral:rRNA from 1 species
AGCGAACGCUGGCGGCAGGCUUAACACAUGCAAGUCGAACGCCCGGGCAACCGGGAGUGGCAGACGGGUGAGUAACACGUGGGAACAUGCCCUUCGGUUCGGAAUAACUCGGGGAAACUCGUGCUAAUACCGGAUACGUCCGUAAGGAGAAAGAUUUAUCGCCGAAGGAUUGGCCCGCGUCCGAUUAGCUAGUUGGUGGGGUAAAGACCCACCAAGGCGACGAUCGGUAGCUGGUCUGAGAGGAUGACAGCCACAC